rnacentral:rRNA from 1 species
UGGGCGUAAGCGUGCGCAGGCGGAUUGUUAAGCAAGAUGUGAAAUCCCCGGGCUUAACCUGGGAAUGGCAUUUUGAACUGGCAGUCUAGAGUGCGUCAGAGGGGGGUGGAAUUCCACGUGUAGCAGUGAAAUGCGUAGAGAUGUGGAGGAACACCGAUGGCGAAGGCAGCCCCCUGGGAUGACACUGACGCUCAUGUACGAAAGCGUGGGUAGCAAACAGGAUUAGAUACCCUGGUAGUCCACGCCCUAAACGAUGUCAACUGGUUGUUGGGGGAGUGAAAUCCCUUAGUAACGAAGCUAACGCGUGAAGUUGACCGCCUGGGGAGUACGGUCGCAAGAUUAAAACUCAAAGGAAUUGACGGGGACCCGCACAAGCGGUGGAUGAUGUGGAUUAAUUCGAUGCAACGCGAAAAACCUUACCUACCCUUGACAUGUCCGGAAUCCUGCAGAGAUGCGGGAGUGCCCGAAAGGGAAUCGGAACACAGGUGCUGCAUGGCUGUCGUCAGCUCGUGUCGUGAGAUGUUGGGUUAAGUCCCGCAACGAGCGCAACCCUUAUCAUUAGUUGCUACGCAAGGGCACUCUAAUGAGACUGCCGGUGACAAACCGGAGGAAGGUGGGGAUGACGUCAAGUCCUCAUGGCCCUUAUGGGUAGGGCUUCACACGUCAUACAAUGGUCGGUACAGAGGGUUGCCAAGCCGCGAGGUGGAGCCAAUCCCAGAAAGCCGAUCGUAGUCCGGAUUGUUCUCUGCAACUCGAGAGCAUGAAGUCGGAAUCGCUAGUAAUCGCGGAUCAGCAUGUCGCGGUGAAUACGUUCCCGGGUCUUGUACACACCGCCCGUCACACCAUGGGAGCGGGUUUUACCAGAAGUAGGUAGCUUAA